UGGACAAACCGGGAGGAAGUGGGGAUGACGUCAAGUCAUCAUGGCCCUUACGGCCUGGGCUACACACGUGCUACAAUGGUCGGUACAAAGGGUUGCCAAGCCGCGAGGUGGAGCUAAUCCCAUAAAACCGAUCGUAGUCCGGAUCGCAGUCUGCAACUCGACUGCGUGAAGUCGGAAUCGCUAGUAAUCGUGAAUCAGAAUGUCACGGUGAAUACGUUCCCGGGCCUU
rnacentral:rRNA from 1 species